rnacentral:lncRNA from 1 species
AAAUUUUUUAAAAUGAUAUAGACUUGAACAAUGAGAAUAAACAUGAUGGUGUUGGCUUAAAGGGACCAGCAUCUUGCCCCGUGGCGGGAGGUUAAGUUGGGCCGAGUUACAUUCGAAACGACGGAAGGUCGGGUUGGGGUCUAGUCAUGUUCAAAGUAGUGUAAGUCUGGUUAGGUCGAGUCACAAUCAAGAUCCGUGGAUGCUAUGUCUGUAUGCUUUAAGUGAAUUCAUUACGUAUUUCUAACAGUGCAAAUUUUUGAGAUUAAUGGUUAGCGCAAACAAUAUGACAGAUUGUAGUGAUUAUAUACCUUUGCAGUGUGGAUUUAUGUCAUGAUGCGUUUGUUUCACAGAAAGUGGAGAGGCGUGAAGUCGUUUACGACUGUAAAUAUCCACUUCUAAUGUUUGGUAUAUCAUAACUUCAUCUUUGGUUGAAACUCAAACUCUUUCAAAUAACGUAAUUGACUUCGGCCUGCCUAAGUACCAAAAGAAAGUGAGAAAAAAUAAU